GGCGAGGAGCUACAUCAGUGAGCGCCCUUCGGGUGAGCGGCGGACGGGUUAGUAACGCGUGGGAAUAUACCCAAAGGUACGGAAUAGCCUCUGGAAACGGAGAGUAAUACCGUAUGUGCCCUUCGGGGGAAAGAUUUAUCGCCUUUGGAUUAGCCCGCGUUGGAUUAGGUAGUUGGUGGGGUAAUGGCCUACCAAGCCUACGAUCCAUAGCUGGUUUGAGAGGAUGAUCAGCAACACUGGGACUGAGACACGGCCCAGACUCCUACGGGAGGCAGCAGUGGGGAAUCUUAGACAAUGGGCGCAAGCCUGAUCUAGCCAUGCCGCGUGAGUGACGAAGGCCUUAGGGUCGUAAAGCUCUUUCGCCAGAGAUGAUAAUGACAGUAUCUGGUAAAGAAACCCCGGCUAACUCCGUGCCAGCAGCCGCGGUAAUACGGAGGGGGUUAGCGUUGUUCGGAAUUACUGGGCGUAAAGCGUACGUAGGCGGAUUAGUCAGUCAGAGGUGAAAUCCCAGGGCUCAACCCUGGAACUGCCUUUGAUACUGCUAGUCUUGAGUUCGAGAGAGGUGAGUGGAAUUCCAAGUGUAGAGGUGAAAUUCGUAGAUAUUUGGAGGAACACCAGUGGCGAAGGCGGCUCACUGGCUCGAUACUGACGCUGAGGUACGAAAGUGUGGGGAGCAAACAGGAUUAGAUACCCUGGUAGUCCACACCGUAAACGAUGAAUGCCAGUCGUCGGGAGGCAUGCCUUUCGGUGACACACCUAACGGAUUAAGCAUUCCGCCUGGGGAGUACGGUCGCAAGAUUAAAACUCANAGGAAUUGACGGGGGCCCGCACAAGCGGUGGAGCAUG
rnacentral:rRNA from 1 species